rnacentral:lncRNA from 1 species
GACCUGCCCCUCGUCCCAGCCCCGGCACCUCUGCACUUCACGGCCAGGGCGACACCCGCAGCACCAGCCUGCACCCCGCUCCGCCCACCUGUUUCCUGGGGGGACUUCGGUGCUCCUCCUUGUUUAUGGAUAUCCUUUCUUCCCAAAGUCCGUAUCUUUUCCGGGGAGUGGGAGGAAGAAGUCAAGAGUUUGAUCCCCCCCCCCCCCGGUCCACAGCAUAUCAGGUGGACACGGCCAGCAGCCCUGGCCGUGCAUACCCCGGAGGUGGGCAGCUCAGGGCCCUAGGUCAGGGUUGAAGGCCAGGAGAGGGGUCACGAGACCAUAUCAGGGCUGCCAUAGCAAAGUCCCACCAGUGGGGUGGCUGCAGGUGGGUCUUCUCUCAGGGUUCUGGAGGCCAGAAGUCCAAGGUCAGGUGUGGGCAGCCCGCGCUCCCUCUGAAGCCUCAGGUAGAAGCCGUCCUUACCUCUUCCAGAUCCUGAACCGCCAGCCAUCCUCAGCUCAUGGCUGUGGCACUUUGGUCUCUGCCACCAUUGUCACAUGAUGUUCCCUCUCCCAUCUCUGUGUCUUCUCCUCUUCUUAUAGGGACACCAAUCAUACUGAAGCAGGGGAGCCCUCCUCCGACAGGGCCUUAUCUUAACUAAUCACGUCUGCAAUCCUAUUUCCAAAUCAGGUCACAUUCCAGUGACCUCCCGCGCCUGCCUCGGCACACUGCUGAUGCUGUUCCUCCUUCCAGAAAUGCCCUUCCCCUCUCUUGCUGCAUGUCUGCAAAGCACAUUCACAGUAACUGCUUAGAUGCCGUCUUCUCCCUGGAUCUCCUCGUAUGGCCCCAAUUCAGAGAAAGAGCUCCAC